rnacentral:rRNA from 1 species
GACGAACGCUGGCGGCGUGUCUAAUACAUGCAAGUAGAACGCAGUUGCGAACGGGUGAGUAACGCGUAGGUACCUGCCUCAUAGCGGGGGAUAACUAUUGGAAACGAUAGCUAAUACCGCAUACUGUGAGAUGUACCUGCGUUGUAUUAGCUAGUUGAUGAGGUAAAGGCUCACCAAGGCGACGAUACAUAGCCGACCUGAGAGGGUGAUCGGCGACUGUGGGACUGGUCAGGGGCCCAGAGUCAUACGGAAGGCAGCAGUAGGGAGUCGUCGGCAAUGGACGGAAGUCUGACUGAGCAACGCCGCGUGAGUGACGAAGGUUUUCGGAUCGUAAAGCUCUGUGGUUAGAGAAGCGGAGACUAACCAGAAAGGGACGGAUAACCACGUGCCAGCAGCCGCGGUAAUUC